CCAGUGCCUGCCUACAAGCCAAGAGAAGAGAUCUCAGAAUAAAACCUACUUUUUGGGAACUUUGAUCUUGGACUUCUCGGCCUCUAGCACUACAUGCUGUAUUUCCCAGCCUCCCUUGCGCUUAGAUGGGUCCACCUGACUGAGAUCUAGUCAAUGGAAUGUGAGCUGAAAUUACUUCUAGGCUUAAACCAUAUUAAAUGUUUUAUAUUUUUUCCCAUUCCUCUCCUGCAUGUCCUCUUGCUCCCCACUUCCUUCCCCACCUCUGUUCAGUUGAAUUAAAGAUGACACUCAAGAAAGCAUUGGGAGCCAGAAUUUGAAGACGAAGAACACCUAUCAGCCUGCUGGCUUCAAGAGACUUGUGGAUUUAUUUAUUCAUUCAGUGCUUCUAUUACAAAUACAUUUUAAUAAAUUUUAUUUUUAAAAUAGUCACUUAUUGAGUUUGCACUAUUAUAAUUUCUGGAAUCUAUUGGCUAUGACAGAUAGCUGAACAUUCAGUACAGUGAGUCAGUUAGCUUAGAUUGUACAGAAAUCUGGAAGUAAACUUUCCAUUCUUUUGUCAGCAAAAGAUCAGCCAAAAAAUUUUUAAGUGAUUAUAAAUGUAAUAGUUGUUUCUAGAAAAUGAGAUUUUAGCCUUUGGUUGGAAUAAGUGGGAAAGGCUAUAUAUUACAUUGUAAUGAAGAACACAGACCUUUUAUUCUUUUUUUAAUGUCAG
rnacentral:lncRNA from 1 species